rnacentral:piRNA from 1 species
UGACUAUGGUGUUUACAGAUCAGGCCA